GACGUAGGAUGCAAGCGUUGUCCGGAUUUAUUGGGCGUAAAGAGUUCGUAGGCGGUUUGUUAAGUCUGAUGUUAAAGACUGGGGCUCAACCUCGGAAGUGCAUUGGAUACUGGCAGACUGGAGUGCAGUAGAGGCAAGUGGAAUUCCCAGUGUAGCGGUGAAAUGCGUAGAUAUUGGGAAGAACACCGGUGGCGCAGGCGACUUGCUGGGCUGUAACUGACGCUGAGGAACGAAAGCUAGGGGAGCAAAUGGG
rnacentral:rRNA from 1 species